rnacentral:lncRNA from 1 species
UUUUUUUUUUUUUUUUUGUUAAAGAAGGGAAUACUUUCGGUUGCAACCAAAAAAGAAAGAACGGAAGAAAGAAACGUUUCCUUUUAUUUAUUAUUAUAUUAUAAUACUCACUUCUGUUCAGAAUUCCAGGUGUAUGGAAGUGACAAAAUGAUUGGGAAUCAACAUUCAACCCCAUACGCUUCGGCACCCGUUCCAAGACGGAUCUGAUGCCAGUGCAGCCGCCAACAAACCAUCUUACUACUGUAUCAGUGAGUUCGUUAAGCACAGGUUGACAAACCUGGAUGGGCGCUAAACUGAACACCUCAACAUGUGUGAUCUAGAAAACCUGUUUGGAUCACCUAGCACUAGUUGUUAGAUUCUAGACUACGUGGAUCACCUAUAUGAGUACGUGACUUGAGUCACUGUUAGUUUACAAGUUGCUGGAACUAACUGUUCGAUGCAUAAAGUUUAGAUGACUAAAGCUCGAUCCUAUGAUAUUUGAGUACAUUACAUAGUAUAGUUAUUAGAGCAUUUUCACCGGUUCUCCAUUAAUCAUCUAUCCCUAAUAUGUAUGUAUUGACUAGUCUGUUAUUAUAUUUGUAAAUAUUAGGAGAGUUGUUGCAUCAGCAUCCUAAUACAUUUUUUUCUAAUACUCGUAUAGAAGGUAGGUCUCAUAGGAGUAUAGUAAAAAGAUGACUGUAUUUGAGGUGGUUUCCAUGAUAUAAAAAAAUGGUAUUGCAAAAUUGUUGGAGCAAAAAAAAGCAUAGUUAUCCCUAAAAUAACAAUUUUAUGUGAAUAGUAAGAGGUAUUAAAAAACAGUUGAAGAUGCUUUUAGUCCACUUUAACUCCUCGGCCUGUUUGGAUCCAUUAGCAAUAAAAAUUAUCAUCUAAAAUUAGUACUAGCGGACCAAAUAGAUCUGCUAAGAGCAGCUCUAAAAGAUUGGCUAAAACUAUUAACCAAAUCUUAUUUUUUAGUUAUUUUGUAAAAUAGAAAACUUCUUAAAAAAAGAAGACGUCCCCAACACCCUUGCUAAUUUACGAAGUCACAUAGCGAGUGCCCGUGGUUGGCUAUAUAUAGCCACCGAAAAUUAAAGAAUAGCUAGCUUCCUAUUUUACAAAGUUAGCUGUUGGAGUCUGGUUUUUGCUAUACAAAAUUCUAAAAUAGCCUACACGGCAAAAAUAGCUAAGUUGUUGGAGUUGCUCAACUUGCUAAUUAUGGUGAAGGGCUACUAACAGUUAGUUCUAUUAGUAGGUUUAGAAUUGCUAAUAUGUGCUAAUAGUUCAUAUAUACCUUGAACUUACUCUCUAACCACAUAUUAGCAGGUGGAUUCAAACAAUCUCUUCCUAAUUAAGAAUUAGGUAAUGGAUAAAACAGGCCAUAACUGCUGUAUUAGCUGUCAGUUAUGAUGUGAACUACUCCCUCCAUCCCAAAUUGUAAGUCAUUCCAAGAAUCUUGGAGAGUCAAACUUUUGUAAUUUAACCAAAUUUAUAUGAUAAAAUAAUUAUUAUUAUGAUACUAACUAAGUAUCAUUAUAUUCUUCCUUAAUUAUAUUUUCAUAGUAUACUCACUUUACGUUACAAAUCUUAGUAUUUUUCUCUAUAAUUUUGGUCAAACGUGAAAAUGCUUUGACUCUCCAAGAUUCUUGUAAUGACUUACAAUUUGGGAUGUAGGGAGUAUCUGUUAGGGCACUCAUAAUGCAGACUUUAUCAUAGAGUCUAAAGUUAUUUAUUACCUCGAACAAUGUGGACUUAGAGUCUAAAUAAGACUUGGAGUCUUAUUUUUUCUACAUCUUUCUUCAAUAAAUAUGCUGCCACAUCAGCAAAAUACCAUAAAUAAUAUGUAAUUAAUUGUCUUGGACUCUAUAAUAGAGUCUUGCAUUGUGAGUGGCCUUAGUACACAUUUGGAUGGACUAGCGGUUUAGUCCUGGUAAUCAAACACGUCUGGCAGAAAAACCGAACGGACAUCAAGUCACCAAGUGCAGCACAAGACCUUCGGAGAUUGGAACAAAAGAUCUCUCCGCGCUGGAACCCGGAACCAGCAUCCGUGUGGUGUGGCUGCGACGCCGCGACCACCCAGCGCACACACGCCACUCCGAUUGCAACGCCGGAAAAUGACAGCAGACCGGAAGAAUAAUCGUGUGGCCGGACAUGGCCCUCACCGCUAUUAGAUUUCCACUGGGCUUGGGCCAGCCAGACUCAGACGCAAGCGAGCUCCCUGAACCACAAGCACACCCUCCAAAUUGCAAACUGAACGAAACGGAGGCACAACUAGUGUCGACUCUCUCUUUCCUUCUGAGAUCUUCUGAAUCAAAUUUCUGCGUCGUCACUGCUGCGAGAUUCAGGCCACGUAAACUCUUUCUUGUUUAGAGAGAGAGAAAGAAAGAGAGAAGAUUCAGAUUACAUGAGUGCAUGACGACCACAAAUACGCGGCUGUUACUUGAACGCUUACAGCACAUCGUGUUCUGCAACGGCGCAGCCAUCUACGGAUAAGCUUUGUGACGCCAAAACCGUGCCGUAGCAGGAAAACCACGCAGGCCGCCUCGCGGAAAACGCUCUCGUCGCUCGAAUUUCCGCGCUGACCUACACACGCGCCUGCACAGCACAGCACAGCACAGCUUGACAAGAAAAACUCGGCACCCUCGAAUUCAGAAAAAGAGGGAAAGGGAGGGAAAACAUCGCCUGCGCCACUAGAAAACCAGUGGUGGCAGACGAGCCGGGGGGAACGUGCGGCGGGGGAGGAGCAGGGCACACGACGGGGGUCGCCGUCGCCGUCGCGGUAGCGGGGCCGAGUCGUGCUCGUGCCGCGCGCCCGCCAGCGCGCGAUCAAAUUCUUGGAGGUGGAGGCGCGUCUGCGGCUGCGGUGGGUAGGAGGAGCGGUGGUCCAGGUGACGAAAAGGAUCGAUCGGAUCGCUCCGAGAUGGCGCAAGUGGCCCGACCGGUCCUGCUUUCUCGGCUGCAGCCAGGUCAGGGCGGGGAAGAUGGUCGUGGCCGGCCAUGGAUGCUCCACCGCUCUCCGGCCAGCCGGCGUCAGGGUGGUCCCCACCCGGGGAGAUUAACGGCUUACAGCUUUGCUUUCCUGGAUUCUCUUCCUAUCCAGAUAUCCUAUCCUUAUGGGGGGGUGACUGUGACGACGUGUCGAUGUUGAGAACAGUUUCGCGGCUUCCGAGUCCUCAGUCACUAGGAUCGAUUGUCGUCUUAGUCAGCAGACGGAUUUGCACAAUCGUUUUCGGCACUUGCCGUAGAUCCAUUAUUGCUAUUGUGUGGACUCGAACAUCAGGAGAGAUGGAAUUUUGUGGUCGUACUGAAACACUGGGCAUCAGCUGAGCCUGGAUUCGUAAGAACAACAUGUUGAAAAUAUCAUAGCAUCAGGCCUGAAAUAUCAAGCCAGUUGCAGACAAUCCAUUUCAAAGCCGAGCUACUGCAACAACCAAACACAAGUGGUCCUUACAAGGAGCAGUUAACAGACUCUCCUUGACAGUUUCAUGGGAGAAAAUUAUUGGCCGACCGGGAUUCAGCGAGCUAAAUUAAGACCGACACGCAUCAUGCUAAAAAGAUACAACAGCCGCCGUCGGAGUCAGACAUCCAGGUUAAGUAAUCGUCAAGUGCACCAGUCAGUGUAUCCGAAUUCUGGGAUCUCAAGGCGAGAUCGUCACGGAACGGAAUGCUAUAAAUGGAGCUGCCGCUUGGUGGGAGCACUGCUGAAACAUCACCUUCCUUGUCUGCACAGUUCGUCAGAAGACAUUUGUUUAUCAAGUGAUGGGUGCAAAGCAAACAUGACUAGUAGAAUAGAAUGGCAUAUGCCGUGUAUGGUCCUUUAAUCAGCGAGAGUGAAAAUGAAGUAGCACUAGUGAGCAGAAGGAUAAGUACACGUACCUUCUGGUUGAGCGCGUGGCGCGUCUAACUGGACCACUGACUGCUGAGUCCUCUACAACGGGAUCUCUGGUUUUCUUUGCCCUUGACCGUGACGCCCCUGCAUAAUACAUGAAAGAUGAGUUCCUUAAGAAACUUGAUGUGUUCGUGUUGUGUGGAUAUCAUGGCUGGAAUCAUGAGUCACCUUUGCGAACAGAUUGUGUGGACUGAAUCUCCUCAUCGCCACCUUCUGAUCCUGUAAGUGGGGCUGAUGUCUGAGAAUUCUCUGUGCUAGUAUUCGCACUGUGUUCUGGUGUGUUCUCCUUAUUUUCGGUGCUGCUAUCCACCGAAGGAUCUGCAACCGGAUCUCUGGUUUUCUUUGCCCUUAACUGUGACACGCCUGCAUCAUACAUGAAAGAUGAGUUCCUUAAGAAACUUGACGUGUUCGUGUUGUGUGGAUGUCAAAGCUAGAAUCAUGAGUCACCUUUGCGAACAGUUUGUGUUGAUUGAAUCUCUCCAGCGCCACCCGAUUCUGUAGCUUGGGGUGAUGUCUGAAAAUUCUCCGUACUAGUAUGGUCACUGCAUUCUGGUGUGUUCUCCUUAUGUUCGGUGCUGCUAUCCACCGAAGGAUCAACUACCUCGCUAGUUUCUUCUGCCACGGACACAUAAAUAGACAGGUCAGACCAUCCAUGCAAGAGAAACAGUGAUACUACCCUCUAGUGCACAGAACAUAAACAGCUAUAUAGCCUCACAUGGUCGAUUAUAGCAGUUAUAUAGCAUAGAGGAUAAGGAGCAUCAGGAGGAAAUGAGAACUCUUCUACUUACCUUCAGUAGAAUUCCCACUGUUCUGACUAACUUCCUUAGUAGCCAGAAAUUCAUCAAGUGAGCCAAUUCUCUGUCUGUGUGCCUCAGCAUUUUUGGUUGUUUCCUCCUGUUCUUUCUUUUCCUGAUGAACCUUGCUAAGUUUCUCCUCAAAUUCCUCAAUGCAAACUUUUAGCUCAGGUUUCGCAAACUUCUUGCACUGAUUGGUGGAAUCACCAUAGAUAAGUGAAAAAAAAAGAUUGUUCAUAAAUUUAGUGAUGCUUUAUUAAACCAAACUGAAGCCUACACAAACAUCAAGGCUAUGCUACCAACCUUUGAUAUUACGCUUCUGAAGUGGUUCAUCACAGAAUCUUCAGACAAUGCAUGCUCAAACAUCUUAAAAUUAUCGAUGAGUUUUUUCAGGCCCUUUUCAGUGAAGGUUAGCUGAGAAAGGCAAUAAGAGAUAUACUCCCACUGUCUGACAUCUGAAACACAUGCAAAGAAAGAGUCAGGUGUCUGAGAAAUGUUAAAAUGCAUGUCUUACAGCAUAAUUGUCUCGAGAAAACAAAGAAUUAAAUGGCUGAAACAAAGAAAUGAGUGUUAUAUAUAGCUAAAAUGUAGACAUCAAUCACGGGUGCAAGAGUGUCGAAAAAGAGCAACUUGAUCUCAUCUUAUUUCUUAUAUGUGCAAUGAUCUCUCCUUUCUAUUUUACAUAAUGCGGUAAUGUUUCACUCCUAUGCUGUUGCAAAUUUCUUACUCUUACCACCUUUUUGUUCACAAUAAAUUGCCACUUCCUCAACACUGAGGCAGGCUCUUACCCUAAGUAACUUAUUAACAUUAAGUACAAGCACCCACUUAGCUAGGUAUCAAACCAACUUUAUGCAAAUCAUGACUUCCUUAGUAUGCAUGCUGGUCAAAUGUGACAAGUACUAGCAAACAGAUGGGGUACUAUUUAUCCUAUUGAAGGCAUAAGCAUAGUACCAUUUACUCCAGCAAACCUAUUGCACAGCUUAUCCACAAGAGCUUCCAUUUGUUUGUCCUGGGAUCACAAUUGCAACAGUAUAUAGUUACUAACAAGUAAUGUGGAGUAUGCACAACAUGCAAAUGAGUGAAGCAUUAAACAUUAUACCUUCUUAAUUGAAUUAAUUAAGAACUGCAUAAUAUUGCAAAAGGUUUCUUCUUUCAGGUGUUGAUUGCACAGUCUACCCAAGAUAUCCGGAAGAAGAUUAUAAAUUGGGUUGCUUCCUUCAAAGGCCACCAAUAAAAAAGAAGCAAAUUUGUUAGAUAUAGAAGAGAAACUCUAGCAUUCAAGUUAGUCAACCAAUGUUUCUGACACAUGUUUCCAUACCUUUUUUUGACAACUCAUGAAAGAAGAGUUUGGCCAGGCUUGAUAUCCUCUCAUCUUCAUCUUCUAUUCUUACAGCCAUUUCAUUUAUAUACCCUUUAACCUACAAAAGAUUUUCAAAGUGACUGAAAAGUAACAUAAUGGUGGGAUGGAGAGGAGGAGGAGGAGGAGGAGGAGGAGGAGGGGAGAGAGAGAGAGAGAGAGACCUUCAUCAUAUCAUUCAAUAUAAGAUGAGAAAUGACCAGCACAGCGUUCUUCCUCACUGACACUGAAGGAUCACGUAACCGGGCAUAUAUAUACUCUGUCCAAGGUUCUAAGAGGUUUGGGAAGCGAACUGCUAAAUCACCAAGCGCUAUAGUGCAGUUGGAUCGGACAAUUUCAGAAGGUGCACUUUCAGCAACAGUAAACAAGAUUUGAAGAUUUGCUUCGCUGAAAGUUGAGUGUUAAUGUGAGGGAGUGCUUUCAUGAAAUGCUCAUUGGUCCACAAUAAUGAACAACUAGAGUCAUGCGAAAGAAAAAAAAACUUACCAGAACUCUGCAUCAAUGAUCAUUAGCCUGCAAAGAGCAAGCAUUGCAGAAGCUUGUAGGUCUGGGAACUAGAUUCAAAAGAGAAGAAAUUAGUAACUGUAGAUAGUAACAAGAAAAAAUGUUUAAAUGGAAUACAGGAAGCCCAGUUGACUAUAAACCUUUUGCAGCAAUGUAAGAUUCCUGCAGAGUUUUGAGAGAAAUGGCCCACAAUGUCCUAUGAGAUUCUUUUUAGAAGAACAGCAAACAAUUUCCUUUUCUGCUCUUUCAGCAAGGGACUCGAUUGCAAUAUCUAUGGUUGCACCAAGUCCCAGUUCGGCAUUUAUGCCUUGUGCCUGUUACACAAUAAAGCACAACCUGAACUUAACUGAAACAAUGACAAGUGAAAAGUGACAAGUUCAGAAAGGACAGAGAUUUAGCACUCAAGCCAGAAUUACCUCCGUACUUUUAGACACGUCAGACUGGAGAUCCACAGUGGACUGAGAUUUUUCAUUCUUCCGUAUCUGUUUCUGAACUUUCCUAACAGAAUUCUCAAUGUACACCAAAUGAUUUAGUGCUAUAUGGCUAAUAACAAAAAGAAAUCUACCCAGCUUUGAAGGUGAUACUGAUGACAGAGAGGCAUCAUUCUCAGUUUCAAUUCCAUUUGACACAUCCUCGUUUCCUAAAACACUGAAUACAGAACUGAGGGACUUCUUUGCAGUCUCAGUAGCAAAAAUUUCAGGAGCAGGGUGUAGGGUGUAGAUGGUGCUUAUAGCUUUAUCUGCAGCUCCAUACCAUAUUUUCUCAGGAAUUGAGAAGCUUGUUACCAAACCUUGCAAUGCAGCAAAUACUCUACUACUAGUAUUUAUCAGUUUGCCCUUGUCUUCAUCUGAUAAUCUCUGCAAAGCAAGACAUGCAGUUCUAGCAAGCAGAGGCUCCUCCUUAGCCCAGCGUCCAAACCCAAUGUCAAUAAUAUCUUGCAAGUGAGCACCCAAAAUGCUGGGAGACGACUUAGCAGCCAUACAAAGAAUUGAUAGAGCUCCACGGCUUUGCACUGGUCUGACUCCGUUUAUGUUAAAGCAAAAAUAGUCCCACAGUGCUGAUACCUGCAAGAAGCAACAGGUCAUAGAAAAUAUCCUCAGAAGCAACAUAAGAUAUCACCAAACUGAAGUAAUUUAAUCCAAAAAAAUGGUUAUAUUUGGGAAGAAGCUAUAUAUGACUGCAGUAAUCGAAGAAAGAAAGACAACAAAUCAGUAGACAUGGAAAAAUUCCAAUUUCUUCUGUAAUCCCAAUUCAUAUAUAUAGAGGUCAAUAAUUAGGAUCUUGAAGAAGCAAGCAUCUUAAUUGCUCCAAUCUGUAAAACUCAGGUGCUCAGUCAGUUUCAAAUGUGUUGCCACAUUUAUUUAUUCUUUACAACUGAAUUAUAUUUUAAUCACUGAACUGCUCAGUUACUUUAGCUGGAACUAACAAAUAAUCACAUUCAAAGUGGUAGCCAAAGCAAAUUGAUAGGGAAGAAGGGUGCACCGUGCUGGAUGAAAUUUCUGCUUUUGAAACUAAGGAACUAACUAAGCUCUCGAGAGCAGCGAGGUCACCAAUGCUACAAUCAAUGGCAAGGUCUAACAAACGUUUCGCCGUUUCUGUUGGGCUUUUCCUUGUGUAUAAAGUAAUGAAUGCACUCUCCACUGCUUCAUAUAUUGACUUAUCCUGAGAAAAUACCUGAAAAAUACAAAGGAUCAAGGAAUAUUAACAAAUAACAAAUACAUAACAAGCACAAAAACCAGAGAGUUUUUGGGAUAUUACCAGAGGUAACAUUUUCCUGAGAGCUGCUUCUGAUCCUUCGAUCUGAAAUUGUCUGCAUCUCAUCAGUAAAAGGAUGGUGUUCUCAACAUCAGUAGCUGAGGAUGAUGCCAACAACUGAACAAGAAUUGGCAUUAACGAAGUUAUACACUUUGAAAACCGCAGACCAGCUUCAAGUGAUGCAACUAAAGCUCUUAUUUGUUCCAAAUUUGUUAUAUCCACAAUCGUAGCAUCAUGAUCAUUCUGAUCCUGACUUGAUGCUAAACAGCUAUCACUGACACUUUCAUCUUGCCCCAGGAUCACUUCACCAGGCGAACAAUCGUUUGCAACCUCAUCUUUGUCUGGAUUUGAGGGCUCCAUUCCUUGUAAUUUUUCCUUGUACUUUUCUAGAGUUGCCUCAAAGGUUGCAGUCCUUAACUGAGGUCCAAAAGGGUUGUGUUGCAGCAUUGUGAUGAGAAGCUGUAGUGCUGAUUUUCUCACAAUAGCACUUUUGUCCUCCAGUCUCCCUGAAGCAACUGAAGCCACUUCAUUCCACAGGCCAAUUGAGAUAGAAUUUUCUUCACAAAGCUCAGACCACACCUGAAGCACACGACUCCUUGUGUAUGCUGACACAUCCCUACAGCGCUCAAUCAAAAUCUCUAGCAUAGCCUGCUUACUUCGAAGCCGAGCAUUGCUAUCACCCUCAACAUCCUUGAAAGCCUUUGCAGCCAGCUUUCCCAAAACUCCAACAAGAGCAUUUCUGAUCUUAUAUGACUCACCACCAAAGUGAGGUAUCAAAACACCAAUGUUGGUUGACAUAAGCUUUGGCAAGCGGUCUGCAAGUUCUACAAGGAAUCUCCCAACAUUAUCAGCACCAACACUAUCUCUUGCGUAUUCUUUUGGGUCAGCCCGACCUAUUUCCCUAACCAGGGAAAUUGCGAGGCUUCCGUCACCAAACUUUUUCUCUGCGGAAGCAACUGCUUCUGCAAGAUGAGGAACAGUGAAAUCAAAUUUGUGGAUCAGAUGCGAGACAGAUGCACUGAUUUGAGAAACUCUCUGAUGCUUUGUGGCAAUUGCUCCAAUUAUCCGGCACAGACCAUUUCUUGUAUCCUCAUCUUUUAACACAUUCUGAUUUUCACAGAGGACAAAAGUACACCUACAUGUUAUGAAAGUGAUGUCAUUCCAAAAAAAAAAGGUGGGUUACUGGAAAGUACUGUAGUCAGUUCCAGAACUUACUUUGAAACGAAAGAGAGAUAUCGUUCAUCAGUUCCUCCAGGACCAAAAAGCAGUGAAAGGUCAGCUUCAAGAGAAUUGGCAACUAGACUCAUGAUCCUGCCUCUUUGAGCUUCCCAAUUCCAAGCAUAUACAUGAUUCUUCUUUCGACCGUGUGCUGUCACCUAAGUUCUCAUGAAAAAAUGAAGUCAACUCAAAAAACAAGAGCAUAAAUAAUCUUUAGGAUAAUUGUAUCUUCUGCAGAAAAGUCACCUUAGCCCCUGUGCCGCUUUCAGCAGCAGAUUCCUCUGUGAGAACAAUAGAAAUGAUAAAGAAGGAGUAGAUCUUGAGGGCAUUGCGGUGUGAGGCAAUGCGAUCAGUGAUCGGGGUAGUAUCAGAAGGGGAUGACAUGGAUGCCCGGGAAAGUGAGUCUAUGUUGGGUAGAAGGACACUGAGGUUGGAGCGCAAGGUCUCAACAAUGUUAAACUUAAGGGCUGGGGGUAAGCAAUUGAAAUCACGAACAAUAGAAUAGAUGGCAUCGAACACCUCCUGUUCCUCAAUGCAGAAGAGCUCCUUAUCAGAAAGAUCAAAUGAUGCACCUUCAGUUUGAAUCAGAAUAAGAAAAAUAGUCAGUUCACUUAACAAGAUCUUUCAUUCAAAAAAUAAAGCACCAAAACUAGCUAGAUCUCUAAUUUUUUUAAUAAUAACUUUCUAAUUGCACGUUGCCACAGGUUAGAACAGCCAACACUGUCAAUAGUAAGACUGUAGCAUGAAAAAUUGAAAAAUAAGGGGAAAGGUCUAUUCCCAUCAAGCAAUUGCUAAUAUUUUGUUUUGAUGGAACAGUGAUUGCUAAUAUUACAGAGACGACAAUGGAGAAUAAAGAUUUAUGAAUAAUUAAAAUAGCAGGGUUAUGUAGGGCCACUGAGGCAAAACUUAUAAUAGCUUGUUGGCUUCUCGCACCCACCUUUUCUGAAAUCAGAUCAAGUUUCUUAACCCAGCCAUGUUUAGUGCGGUAAGAUACUAAAGCAACUGCAAGACUUCCGAUUUCAAAAUUGGUUGCAAGCAAGCUCAGACGCUUCUGUGGAAGCGAACGCGAGCAUUUGUCUGCAAACUCAUGUAUUUACAUGCACGCACCGAAUUGCUUGAGAGAGAGAAAAAAAUAGGGAUGCCAGGUUGCCAGCUACAUCCAAAUCAGAAGCUCCGACUAGCUACUGUUCAACAAAACCCUAUUCUAGUGGAUUUUAACCAAGUGACGAUCAAAACCUGAAUCCAAAACUAGGAAUUCUUAACGACUGGUACAACUCGACCAAACAACGAACCCAGCGGCGGCUGGGAGAUGGCGGCACGUACCCUUGACGAACUCCUCGAGGUCGGCGGCGCGGAGGGUGGCGACGGCGACGGGAUUCUGCGGCCGGAGCGAGGGCUCCUCGUCUCCGUCGCCGUCGGUGUCCCGCUCCAGAUCCCGCAGGCUCGACGGGAACACGAACGGCGGGGCCAUCUGGCCGCGGGAGGACGCCGGCGAGCGGAGGAUGGGGAGGGGGAGGCGGAGGGGUUUGGGCUGGGGAGUGGGGAAUGGGAGGGGAAGAGUGGCGAGUGUUUCGAAAUCGAGAGCGGGAGCCGUGAGAUUUCGUGAGGUUGUCCUGACUGUACAAAGGGCCCACGCGUCGUCGCGUGUGAAGGUGGCACCGGUGGUUUGAUUCGAACCGUUUGAAUAGGCGGGGCUAGGGCCUCGUUUAGUUUCGAAAAUUUUUGAGAAAUUGAUAUUGUAGCACUUUCGUUUGUAUUUGACAAAUAUGAUCUAAUUAUGGAUUAACUAGGCUCAAAAGAUUCGUCUCGUCAAUUCCGACCAAACUGUGCAAUUAGUUUUUAUUUUCGUCUAUAUUUAAUACUUCAUACAUACGUCUAAAGAUUCGAUAUGACGGAGAAUAUGAAAAAUUUUGCAAAAUUUCCAGAGAACUAAACAAGGCCUAGCUCGUGACCUCGUGUUGACUGUUUUUCUUUUCUUUUCUUUUUGAUAAAUGAGAUCUUGUUUAGUUCCGAAAAGUGAAAAGUUUUCGGUACUGUAGCACUUUUGUUUGUUUGUGACAAAUAUUAUCCAAUCAUGGACUAACUAGGAUCAAAAGAUUCGUCUCGUGAUUUACAGCUAAACUGUGUAAUUAGUUUUUGUUUUCGUCUAUAUUUAAUGUUUCAUGCAUGUGCCACAAGAUUCGAUGUGACGGAAAAUCUUAAAAACUUUUUAGUUUUCAGGGUGAACUAAACGAGGCCUGAGUUCGUGUUAACUGUUGAGUAAAACCCACUGCUAGAUCGAUCAAAUAACUAAAAUAUUCCCGUUUUCACAAUAGACUACAAUUGCUCUUAUGCAACUAGGCCCUGUUUGGUUCUCAAAAAUUUUACAAUUUUUUUAAAAGAUUCUUUGUCACAUCGAAUUUUGCGGCACAUACAUGAAGCAUUAAAUAUAGAUAAAAAAUAACUAAUUGCACAGUUAUCUAUAAUUUGUGGUAUAAAUUUUUCGAGUCUAAUAAGUCCACGAUUGAAUAAUAAUUAUCAAAUAUAAACGAAACUACGAAAGUGUUAUAAUAGCCAUACUUCUUCUCUAAAACCCAAAAUUUUUCAAGAUUUCUCGUCACAUCAAAUCUUUAGACACAUGCAUAGAGUAUUAAAUAUAGAUAAAAUUAAAAUCUAAUUGUACAUUUUAUCUAUAAUUUGCAAGACGAAUUUUUUAAGCCUAAUUAGUCCAUAAUUAGACAAUAUUUAUUAAAUACGGAGUACAAAUGAAAAUAUUACAUUGUUUAAAAAAAAAAUCGUUGUGGAACUAAACACGCGGGAGGUGGCAAGGUUAGCUGGGCGUGUGCUCCAGCACAGGUGUAUGCGAGCUGUGGUCUCACGCCUCGUUUAGUUCAUCCAAAAAUUAAAAAAAAAAUUAAGAUUCUCCGUCACAUCGAAUUUUGGGACACAUACAUGAAGUAUUAAAUAUAGAUAAAAACAAAAACUAAUUGUACAAUAUACCUAUAAAUUAUGAGAUAAAUUUUUUGGUCUAAAUAGUCCAUAAUUGAAUAAUAUUUAUUAAAUAAAAAUGAUUUUUCGGAACUAAACAAGGCCUCGGACAAAAGCAUCGAUGGGGCUACGGUACACAAUUGAUUCUUCCAACCCAGACAUACAGUACCAUCUUUUCAUGGUCUAAUCGUUUGUAACUUUAACUUUUGUCAUAAUUUUUAUGUGCUUGCUCUCUCCCAACGCGCUCCAAGGUGUGUGCUUCAUUUUUUGUCAACCGAAGCUAUCGCAGCUCCUCCAGGAUCUGAUCGCAAAAGAAGGCUCUUGCAGGAACCUCUAAGGGCUUCUGCAACGGAAGUUAAUAGAGGUGUUGGUCUCAGGGAAAAGAGAAAGACCACGUAGAUUAAAAAAGUAUGAGACUGUAUUUUCUCCAACGCAAACUAUCAUAGUCGUACAGACGACGUUAGUGUUGUCAGCUGUGUUCAAGAGCGUAAAUCAGAGUGAGCCAGUGACUUUUCUCUUGCUGGUUAACCUCCAACGCGCUCCUCGUUGGGUGCUCUGUCUUUUCGUCAGGUGAAGCACUCGGCUCCUCUGCAGGCUAACAUGACACACUGCGGAGCAGCACUUCGACUCAACGUGGCCUUCAAAUGCGGACGUUGAGUCUGGAACCACCCGCCACCUUGGCGCGUUGGGGCUGGCCUAAGACCAGUAUCAGUUGAGGUUUCACCAGGAUGUCAUGUACAUUUAUUAAAGCGACAUGUCAGCAAAACUGCACUUUUUGCAUAAAAUGAAGAGGAGAGAGAAGGAAGUAGUUUCACUAUGGUGAAACUCUGGGCGUUGUUUCCCACGCGGUGAAACGGGAUGAAAUUCCCACUGAAGGCCACAUCGUUUCACCAUCUUGCAUGUGAUCCAAUCAUUUUGCAGCAAUUAAAUGCUUUGCUUAGCCUUGGGAACAACAAAGUGAAAUGCUUCAUUGCUGGGGUUAUUUCAUAGAUGGUUUCAUUUCAAUCUUGAUAACGUGUUGGUAUGUGAAACCGUGCAGUGACACCGUCCAUUGAGACUGCGUAGUUUCAUGACACAGUUAUCAAGACUAUAAACUAGGUAACCGAGCCACAUUAGUUUUAUGGGGAUGAAACACCUCUCUCAUCAUAUGAAACUCCUUCAUUUAAUGACUCUGCCAAGUCAGCAAUUUUGCUUAUGUGUCAUUAUAUUUAAUAUGAAAGACACUUUCAUAAAACAUGCAUUGAGACUGACCUAACAGUCUACGAAGCCAGGGGCGGAUCCCAAGGGGGGCUGGGUUGGCUCCACUGCCCAUUAAGUUACUGUUAAUUAGCCUUAAAUUCUUAUUAAUCCUUAGCUUUAAUUCUAAAUAUUUACUAGUUAGCUUCUCCUUUGAUCUCAUCCUGGAUCCGCCACUGUACGAAGCAUACAUCCGUGAUGAUUUGAACGCCAAAUAUUGACACGGAGGAUGGAGCUAAUGUACACGUUGUAGCGCUGGGGUGGCCUAAGACGAUAUGAUAUGAGAGAGAAGCAUGUCUCUUUUGAGCAUCCACAUUCAUUCCGCAUGAGGUCCAAGGCACUCAACUUUUAUAUUAUUUGCUUAUUUUUUAGCCCAAUUACCAUAAUACUCCCUCAGUCUCAUAAUAGAUGAGAAAGAUAUAUGUCUUUGGAUUCAUUGAUGGCGCUCACCUUGUCUUGCUAAGCAAAGUUUACAAGGUUUAGUUCCUUUAUUUACUCCAUUUACCAUUGUUUGGUCAAGAGAACCAAUUUGGCUCACCUUUGUUGGCGAGGUUAGCUUUGUGUCGACGAAAGCUAGUCGGCAGUCUACCUUGGGGUAUACCCACGGUAGUAGUUUAUCGGUAGACGGUGCGCAAACUACGAACUCGAUGGUGACGCAAGACACGGACAAGCUUUUUAUCCAGGUUCGGCCGCCGAGUUGGCGUAAUACCUACGUCCUGCGUCUGGUUGUAUUGAUUUGUGUUGAGAGAAUAUGAUGUAUGACUUGUCCUCUAGGGGACCCCUGCCCCUCCUUAUAUAUUCUGAAGGGACAGAGUUACAAGCAAAGUAUCCUAUUUGGUACAAAAUCUUGUAGCCUUGCGGUGCACGCCGACCAGUCGUGCGCCGCACGUCUUCAUCUUGUGGGCCGAGCCACCUCUGAUGGUGCGGCCCAUAUAGGCCCAUGAGGGUAUAGGGGUUUAUACCCCCACAGCUAGUCCCCGAGCACCAUGUAUUGUGAUGUAACACGCCGUCUUGAGCUUCUUCGAUCAGCGAGGCUUGACGUCUUCAAUAAACAGGAAAGUCGCCCAAACAGUUGCAACGGUAUUUUGACCAACUCAAAAGACAGUUGAUCAACAUUGACAUCGAAGAAGCAGGUUGUUCGAAGAAUGCAUGGUGCUCUUAAUUAAAAAAGAUUUCUUUCCUGGUGAAGUGUGCCCACUUUACUUUUCUGAAAAGUAUAGUCUUUCAAAAAGCAAGCAUAUUCACCGCAAGGUGAAGUGUGCCCACUUAGUCCCCGAGCCUGGUAGUAGGUGACGUAGGCACGUGGUGCCAGGGUCAAAAGAAAAGUCCUCAAAGAAAUUCUGAAACUGAGAUGUAUCGCCAGAUGCAUUGUACCGAUGUAGUCCCCGAGCUUGCUGGAAGGCGAAGUAUGAGCCUUGUAGCAAGGUUUAAAAAGUUGAAUUUACCAGUCCCCGAGCAUAUCAUGCUCGUAUGCAAUUGAAUAGACUAAUCGACCAGUCCCCGAGCAUAGAACGCUCGGUGGUCGGUACAGUCCCCGAAUUCUCAAAUUGGUGGGCUGGUCGACCAGUCCCCGAGCGUGUAGUGCUCGGUGGUCGGUACAGUCCAAAAACUCUCAAAUUGGUGAGCUGAUCGAACAGUCCCCGAGCGUAUAGUGCUCGGUGGUCGGCAUAGUCCCCGAGCACGGCGUAGGGACCGGUGGACAAGUCCCCGAGCGUGGUUGGGAACGUAAACAUGCUCGGUGGUCGGCACAGUCUUCGAGCACAGCAUAGAGAGUAGUCGACAAGUCCCCGAGCGUGGUUGGGAACGUAAACGUGCUCGGUGGUCGGAGCAGUCCCCGGGCACAGCGUAGGGAAUAGUCGACGAGUCUCCAAGCGUAGCUUGUCGACUGGGCCAAACUCCUGAAAAAUAAAUAUAAAGAAUUGGUAGUACAUGAUGUAUAAAUAAACUUUAGAUAAAAAAUCAGUACUAAGAUAAGUUUUAGAUUUUUUGUUAUAAAAUUAGCACGAGUAGUUAAUUCGUCCUAGAGCUUGUACCAGCUCUGGUUUAGCCAACAAUCAGCAUGAGGUGCGGAACCUAGACACGCGUGGGAUUGCCAGCCUCGCCAGAGAGCUACUGCCGACCACCCGGAACGCAGAGAGCGGAUCUCAUGCACGUGUAGGGAGGAGUCGGAGACAGUACCGGCUCUGGAAAACUCGUGUAGGAGAAAAAACUAGUCGGCUAAACAAAAAGUUGUUUUGAAGGAUAAUAAAAAAUAUUAUGCCAAAAAUAAAUAAAAUAUUAGAAUUGUACUUAUCUUUGGACGAAAGUCUGGUCGGGAGAGUUGCUUGACUUGUCGUGAUGGUGGUCGCGGCUGUCGUAGCGCCGUUCUUCGUGGCGAUUAUUAUUGCGACUCGUGGUCAGAGCAAGUAGGCCACACAACUUGGUCGAUAGCCUGAGCAGGUCGGUGUCGUCGAUCUGCCUCCCUUUGUAGCAGAGAAGCGGGUGACGCGUUGUCGGCGUGGUCGGAGACGUUGCUGGAGUAGUUGAAGUCGUAGCCAGCGUGGUUGAAGCCGCCGCCGACGUCGAUGAAGAAGUGGUUGGCGCAGAUCGGAUCUACACCUCCUCCGUGGUCGUGACGGUGAAGCUGUUGAAGCUGACGGUGAACGUGAAGUCGCCCGCCAUGGCCACGAAGUCGGGGAUAAUGACCAUCUCGUUCGUCGGGAGAGCUGUACGCACACCCCCUACCUGGCGCGCCACUGUCGACGAAAGCUAGUCGGCAGUCUACCUUGGGGUAUACCCACGGUAGUAGUUUAUCGGUAUACGGUGCGCAAACUACGAACUCGAUGGUGACGCAAGACACGGACAAGCUUUUUAUCCAGGUUCGGCCGCCGAGUUGGCGUAAUACCUACGUCCUGCGUCUGGUUGUAUUGAUUUGUGUUGAGAGAAUAUGAUGUAUGACUUGUCCUCUAGGGGACCCCUGCCCCUCCUUAUAUAUCCUGAAGGGACAGAGUUACAAGCAAAGUAUCCUAUUUGGUACAAAAUCUUGUAGCCUUGCGGUGCACGCCGACCAGUCGUGCGCCGCACGUCUUCAUCUUGUGGGCCGAGCCACCUCUGAUGGUGCGGCCUAUAUAGGCCCAUGAGGGUAUAGGGGUUUAUACCCCCACACUUUGUCAACAAGGAAACAAAGUUACCUAACUGAGAGAUCUAAACUUGCCAUAUAAGCAGAGAUGUAUUGUAAAAAGAUAAAUGUGUAUUGAAAAAGUGAAAACAACAACUAAUUUAGGACACACGUAAAAGGCCAGGGAAACAACGAAGGGAGUAAAAGGCCAGGGAAACAAGUAUCAUACGACGAAGGGAGUAUGGUAACGAGUGAUUUUUUUUAAUCAAAGGUUCUUUUUAAGGGAAUACACUGGCUUCGGCAAUAGGCAAGAUUGUAGUAGCAUAAUGAGCUACAGGAUCAGCUGAUUCUCGUGGGACAGAGACAUCAGCCCUAUAUUUUUUUAGUUUCAAUGGAUGGUUAUCUACAAGACAUAUUGGUCUUGCUUAGUCUAAAUUUUUUUCUUGUUUCCGGUUAUCCAGCUGGUUGACUGUAAGCCCCUUAGGUGAAACUUUGUAAUAAUUGAUCUGAUUCUAUCCAUAGAUAGAUGAAGCCGGAUAUGAACUAUCCAUUAUUAAAAAAACUAAUGAGGUGUGAUGUUAAGACCUAUUGUAUCCAUCUCAAUAGUCCCUUUUUUUACAAAAUCAAUAAAACCUUGAGCUCACCGAAUAAUAAAAAAGCACUAGUGUACCAAAUAAGUGUCAUUCAUUAAUUUGAGAUUUUUUUUAUAUUAAACCUAUCAAGAUACACGCAUUGAUAAUACUAUUUUUCUACUAAUUUAGUUAAACUUAAGAAAACAAUUGAUUUAGUGGAACCAAAUAUUACACUUAUGUAAGAUGUUAAUGUUUUUUUUUGUAUAAAAGCAAUGUUUAUCUGUGUAAAAAAACACUUUUUUCUCAGGAACAUAGCACAUUUGCGCUAUAGACUACAGUAUUGCACCGAAACUCUAAGGCCUUGUUUGGUUCAUGCCGAUAAAUUUUAUUGUCUAUCACAUUAAAUGUUUGAACACAUAUAUGAAAUAUUAAAUAUAAGACUAUUUACAAAACUUAAAACGCAACUAAAGAAUAAUUUGCGAGACGAAUCUUUUGAGCGUAAUUAGUCUAUGAUUGGUUACUAUUACCAAAUAAACAAAAAUGUUACAAUACUUAUUAAACUUUAACACUACCAACAAAACAUCCCUUAAAUCUUUCGCCAAAAAAAAAACAUCCCCUAAAUAAAUCUCUUAAACAUGAAGAGGCUGCAUACCUGGGUGGAUACGCCUGCCUCCCUAUCAAGGGUAGCAUCGAGCACACAUGUCCCCCAAGGAGGUGUCGCCGGACACGUCAAGGCUCAUAACGCUCAUGUGCCUCGCGGCCUCGCCCUGUAUUCCAGUUGAUAUGCAGUGCGAGAAAAAAAAAACUCUAGACUAUCUAUCCUUUCCAAUAAUCAUAGCGAUACAGUACAGUUCAUUUUCAUCCCUCAAAGAGUACAUUUCAUCCCUCUGGACUGUCUGAGCAUGGUAAUCUCAAAAAAAGAAUUAUCUGAGCAUGGUGUAAUUGUUAUUCGCGCUCAAAUUGAAGGGGGUGUGAAGGCUGUCACAACGAACGGAACACUCACUAUCAAAUUGAUAGAGUUCUUCUAGUAUUUUUAAUUAGUAAUAAAAUACUACCAUUAGUCAUAAUACUAGAAAAUCCUCACUAGGAGACAUUUACUAGAAAAAAUUUGUACUAAAUUUUGAAUGCUAAAACACUAGAAGAAGCCCACAUUAAAAAAUUUAGUUGUGACUCACCCUACAACACGUGCAAGCCAUCUAUUCCCUUAGAGCAACUCCAAGAUCUCUUAGCUAAGAUUAGUAGUCAAAUUUCAUUGCCCUUUUAUAAAAUAGAAAUUUCUUAAAAAAAAAGAAGUCCACAACAACCUUGCUAUUUUAUAAAAUUAGAUAGCCAGUGCCAGUGGUUGGCUAUAUAUCGGACACCGGAAAUUAAGGAAUAACCAACUUUCUAUUUUACAAAACCAGAUAGCACAUCUCUUGGAGCCUACUUUUUACUAUGCAAAUUUUUAAAUAACAUUCACAAUAAGAAUAGCCAAGCUCCUAGAGUUGCUCUUAGCUCUGUUUUCUUUUGGUUCGGGGUAGGAGAAAAGUAGAAAUACUUGUAAACUAGGAAAAAAACUCUCGUGUUCUUGUACCUCAAUAUUAUUAUCGUCCUAGCGUUUGGUAAACUCAGGUGGUUGUCUCCUAUUUGUUGUAAUCUUGCGAGAGCAUCUCCAAGAAUACCCAAUAAUCCUUGUCAAUCCUUGAUUUCUCAGAAGAAUGAAAAAAAUGAUCUCCAACAACUCUCAAACUCAUCUCCCAAUCUUUUGACACUCGGAAAAACUCCUUUAUGCGUAAAGAUACAUGGAUCCCAAUAGUAUCUAUAUUGUUCCCCCGCGCGUUGUAUACAUAGGUCAAUCUAAAGGUGAAAGAGUGUGGGAAAGAAUAAAGACUAAAAAAGUUUCUGAUGUAAAUAUACAAAGAGAAAAAAGAUAUAUAUAAUUGGUUAGAAAUAGUAUAGGAUUCCUGUUGUAAAAUUGUCUUCUAAUGAAUUAUUGGAAACUGUUAGAGAUGAUCUUAUUUAUUUCUCUGAUUACUUUUUGGUAAGUUGGAAAACAUCAUCAUUUUAGGAAAAAUUAUUGGGUUCUUUUGGAGAUGAUGCUCUACUAGCUCACCGAUGAUUGAAUCAACAAUGAACGUGUUGCUUUUUGAAAGUGCGCCUUGAAUUGAAGAGUUUGUGGCGUACAAAUUCACAUGUGACAAUAGUAUUUUUUAGGGGUAGGUUGUGAUAGCAUUGAUAAAACUUUCACUAGUUUUUGAAUCGGACGCUGAUGUUAGUAAUUGGCUUGUUUUAAUGUUUUAUGCCUUGCGCAUUGGAUGGCGUUAUUUGAACGGAGGACGGGAUGAGGACCAAUUUAGCUUUUACCCUAGAGCCAAUUCCGUGUAGACCAUUAUAAAAGAUACAACUUCCUUGCAUGACACCGGUUGACCACCAGUUCACAAAUGUCAUCAGGGUAAAAUGUCCCUACUACUACUUGAAUGGACGUGGACUACUGCAAAAUUUUGCUGAUCCACCACGGCAUGAUACAUUAAGAUGAGCAGUGUGCCUAACUAACCUCCUUUCUCACAAGCAUGGGGUUAAGUCCUUGCAAGGAAGCAGAUAUAAGUGGACUUUGUUUGUAUAUCACAAGAAAAUAAAAUGUCAGUCAUGAUUAUAGAGUGCACAGAAAUAUCAGGUAUGUGUUAUGUGAUUUUUGGUAUUUUCUUAAGGUGGAUAAAAAACAAUACAUGUUGCGUGAAAUAUCUUUUUACAUGAAUUGUGGCAGUGAAAAGUUUAAUUUAUUCCAACACUGUUUAGCUUGAAAAUACAACAUCAUAUACAAAGAAUGAACAGAGCUUGAUUAUGAAUAGGGGUAAAGAGAUUAUGACCAGCAUGCAGAAAUCUGUAGUUGUCAAACAAUUCAAAGCAGUGCAAAACUCUUAUCCUAAUUCUCAAUCAAGUGGCCAGAAAGUCUAGAACGAAUGCAUUCAAAAUAAAUAUUUAUGCAUAGAGAAAGGGGCAAUCCUUUGGGGCUAGGAUUCCUGAAAAGUUCAUUGAUCUUCUCCUAUUCUUGGCAUCAUUGUCAGAACAUGAACCACAAUUUUGCCCUUUUGUUCUCUGGCUUUUCCUAUGACUGCAAUCACCCAAAUAUGCUCUUAUUGAUCCAUAUAUUGAGAUCAAAACAAAGACUGCUUUAAUUAAACAAAAAACAAACAACCAUGCUAUGAAAGGGUUUGAGAUGAUGCCUCAUACAGCCUGCUUAAAAUUGGGCAUUAAUGUAUGUGUAGUACAACCCAAAAUCCCAAAUCGUGUAGCUAUGAUAGUGAAUCUGAUGCAGCAGUGCAGACUCCAGCAUUGAUAAGCCGAAACUAUGUUCAUCGGAAUUCAGGAAGCUCCUGAAUAAUAUGUUACACCAGUUUCAGUUUGACUAUUCAAUAAGAAAAUUACACAAAAUACUUGGCACAUAACCAUCAAAUUAGAUUGGUGAUAAAGGAAAGAACACUUCUCAUUCUUGAAAGCAAAACAACAAUAUCUCUUAAUAAACCACUAUCAAUGAAGAUAUUGGAGUCUGGGAAGUUGAGAAAAUGUGGAUUAGUUCUGAGAUAGACCUUAGGCUUUUGUUCAGUAAAUCAGUAGUUUUUGGCAAAGAUUUUUUUUUUCUUCAGAACUCAGUCACAACCUGCAGUAAAAAAAGGGGGUAAUAGAACAUUAAAUGGGCCAAAUUAGAUGAAGAUACUAAAGUGAAUGGAGAACUACUAAACCUUAGGCAAUGUCACAAACACAAAUGGCAUGGAAGAUUACAAGCAAGAUCUGAUUAUCCACCAACAGGUCAUGCUUGAAUCACUUUGGAUUACCCCCACUCCAGCCACCCCUCGGGAUAGGGAAAGACAGUGGCCAGAGAGCUGUUCUAUGCCAGUAACUUCUUGAAACAUUGGCAAGGUAUUCCAAAAUCAGAAUAACACAGGACUGAGCAGAAACAAGCAGAACAAAAUUUAGACAGAUGAAAAAAAACUAUAUGUUAAAGAGUUAAAAAGGCUGACAUGCUUUCUUGUCUUUAGACACUGAAUUGUAGUCGGUAAAGUUUUGAAAAAUUAAUGAAUAAGAAAGCAAACAAAAUUGCAAUUACAAAUAAUUAUGUAUGACGAAUAUUCAUAAACAACAAAAUGUAAUACUAAAAGACACGUUUUCUACAAAAUAACACUUGAUUACCAUUUCAGUUCUUUUAUUUUCUAUUCCUUAGCCAUUCCGAUUUCCACAGAAUACUUUUUAUUUACAGCUAGUGAAACUCAAGAAACUUUAACAUGUUACUGUGCUAGAAUUGCAUUCUCUUGUGAUGAGAACAUAUUACACCUCCAUGAACUUCCAGCGCCACUAAUCCAGUCCUGCCUUGCCAACAAAAGAAAUUAUAGUACUUCUACAAUGACAUAUCGCUAUUGAGGGAACACAUGCACCGCAACAGUCGAGAUCAAGAACAUCGAUGACAAACUGGUAUGAAGGGGAUGACAGACCCCAUGGAGUUGAUCUGACGUGAGUAUGGCAGAGGAGGCAGCCUCCUCCUCCCUCACAGCUGUAACUGAAACAUGUGAACAUGCACAAAGCAAAAGCACAAUGAGAGCAAUGGGAGAAUAAUGACCAUGUAGAAGAGGAAACAACGAAAUGAAGCAACUCGUACGCCCAUUUUGUCAACAAGAACCAAGGGAAAGUGAUUAGUGCGGAAACAAUGUAAGAUACAGCAGCAACACAAGAUGAAGAGCAGGCAUUUAAUUCCAAAUGUCAUUGCAACCUUAAAAAAAAAUCCCAACAAAAUGGAAUUUCAGUUUGUAUACACGUUACCAAAUCCAAACUUGUAAGGAACAGAAUAUCAAUCCUUCUAGUAUAGUCGGCGUGAUCAAUAAAAUAUUUAUGCACAAAACACUUACUUUGUUGAUGGAGCACUGGAUAACUCAACCGUUUGAAAGCCAAGAUGAUUAACAAGACGGGCUAAUUAAUUAAUGAGAAUUGAAAGGUGCCAAUAAAAUUGACAGGCAUGAAACAAAUCAAACAGAACAGCUUGUGGCAAAAGCAGGUACUGGUGUAUGUAAAGACCAUAAGAGAGAUUAGGAAUCUCGACGAGUGAGCAACAAUUGUGAUUCACUAGCACAGGAGACAUCCAUCAAUGUUUCUAUACGAUAGCAAAAGUAGCAUUAGCAGUAGUAUGCAAGGUGCGAUGAUAAGUACCAGGAUGGUGAUUAACAUUAAGAAAACCAGUAGCAAAUAACAAGGUUCAAACGGAUUACACCGAAUUUAUACAUAAUAACUUAGGGUAGAUGGUUAACGCAAAGGGAAACGACAGAGCUCCAACUAGACUUAAGAGUAGGCUGCAUCUCGCGCGCGCACACAAAAGGUGUUUGAUUCCCGACUUUAGUAGUUCUCCACCUCCACCACAUCGUCUCCUUCGUCGUCAGUGACCUCGGCCUCCGAUUCGUCCACCGCGUAGCCAAAUUUUUCUUGCUGGUCGAUGAGGGCCUCCAGGUAGGCAAGCCUUGUGUCCCUGAGAAGGAUAUCUAGGCGGUAGCUGCGUUGGAAACUCUCUGAAUACUUGGCCAGCUGGUCUUCAGUGAGGUUCCUGGACGGGCAGGGAUGUGUGGCCAUUGCCCUGGUAAAGUCGAUCUGCGCCUUCGUUAUCGUCGUCAACUUCUUGACCAGCACCUUCUUCGUCUUCUUCCCGGCCGGCUGGGCCGCCGUCACCGUGGGAACCACGGUAGGGGGGUCCAGUGUCGCCUCGCUCGCCGCCUUGUACUCCUUCUUGAGCUUCAGGAUCUUUCCCUCCUCUGACUUGACCUUCAUCAGGAUCUUACGAUCCUCCUCCGACUCCAGCUUCAGGAUCCUGAAGACCUCCUCCUCCGACGCCGCCAUCUUAUCACCCUCCUCCGACGACGCCAUCUUAGCCUUCUUAGCCUCCGACUUCAUGCUGCGGGUACGGCGACGGGUCCCCUCCUCUGGCGAAGCCUUCUCAGCCUCCGACUUCAUGCUGCGGGUACGGGGGCGAAGGGACCCCUCCUCCGACGAAGCCUUCUUAGCCUCCGCCGCCUCCGACUUCAUGCGGCGGCUACGGGACCCCUCCUCCGACGAUCGCCCCAUUGCACGCGACCGAACCCUAACCUCCCAGGAUUGUGACGAUGCGGCGGCAGUUGGUUUUGGACACGGAAGAUGGAGAAUCCUGGGUUCCAUCGGAUGCGAAUAGGCCAGGCCUGAACCGCAAGUCCGCAAGCCGGGUUGGGUUGCGACACCACUAUUUAGCGAACGUUCAAUCAAACUAAUUUUAGCGAACGAUCUUCCGAUCAAUCAUAUUUUUCUUUUAGGAAACAAUCAAUCCCGCCUAAUAUCAUUUUAGGUCAGUACUAUGACGUUCUAUUCCCUUUCUCUUUUCAAACAGACGUUCGCGUGGGCCUUAUUUUCUUUUCGCACGUCCGACGCGCAACCAAUUUUCUCUUUUGCGCUCUCACGCACGUCAAUAUUUUUUUGAAAAACGCACACAUAACUUACACUAGCUGAGGUACCCAGCAUAACUUUAAAGAAUAAAUUAAAUAUGCAAAGUUAUACAACAUUACUUUUUCUUUUUUGCAAACUAAAACAUAUACGUAAUUGAAACUUUGAGAGUUGUUAUAUGAGAAUUAUAUUCUCCUUAUGUUUCAUCAACAUUUUUUUUUCUUUUUAGAAACUAAUCAUUCGGGAAUACGUGACAAGGGUUUAAAAGGGGUGGGAGAGGAAAUAAAAGUAACUUUUACAAUCUAUACUACAAAAGAAAUUCCAUAAUAUGAUGAAAACUUGCAAAAAACAUAUAUAUAAUAACUUUCAUAACUUCUGCAAGUAUAAUAUUCUCAGCAUCUCUAUAAUUAUGACAUCGAGUAUAUUUGUAUUCACUUGGAAUAUCUGCAAAAUAUUUUAAUAUUUAAAAUAACAAGUAAAAAACAAAGUUGAUAACAAGAAAAAACAUAAGUUAAUUGAAAACAUACGAUGGCUAUCUAACAUACACAUAAAAACACAAAUAUAACUAUGAAUAGUAAGUUAAUCAAAUAAGUUAGAUAGCAAACACAUGAAAACAUAAGUUACAGGUUACACACAUAACUCUGUACAGUAAAUUAAUCAAAUAAAUUAGGUAGCAUACACAUGAAAACACAAGUUACAUACAUAACUCUAUAGAAUAAGUUAAUGAUCUAAGUUAGGUACCAUACACAAACAGAAGUUAUACAAUACAACUUAGCAAAAUAGGUUAGCAGCAUAAUUUAACAUAAUAAGUUAGCAAUAUAACUUAUAUGUUAUAAGUUAAUAUACAUAAAUUGCUACUAGAAAAAUAAAAAUCUUCAAAACGUAUAGAACUAGGGUCUAGUUUUGUUCGCCUCGUCACGUUGAACACACUGGUGUAGACGAAAUUAAAAAUAAAUACAUCAUUCAAAAGUUAUAGUGCUUUGAAAUAAAUAUUUUACUUUUUUCAUGAUGACGUCAAGAGGAGAGGGAAAAGGAAGUAGGAGGGAGGAGGGUGGGCGACCGCAUGCAUUAGCUGUCGGAUCGUUCACUGGAUAAAAACUACUGAACGACCGUGAAAAUGGAAUUGUGGGUCUGCUUACGACGAAGGCAACAUCUCGAUCAACACCUUCAUGAAUCAUGAUCAACAGUGUCUCAAGCACGUCGUACAACAACGAUGGGCUGCUGACGACGGACGACCUCGCCUCGUCGACGCCAGGCGACCUGCGCGUCAUGCCGUCCUAUGUGCAGGGGCGAAGGUGUGUUAUAACUAGGGGUGCAAAUACAGCUCCCAAAUUUUAUAAAAACAGUAGGUUUAAUUAAAAUUUUACCAUAUAUGCACCCUUUAUAACUCAUGUAUAUGCACCCACAAGCUAACUGCACCCUCCUCUGAUUUGCUCUAGCUUCGCCACUGCCUAUGUGCCGCGCGCGCUGACGCAACGUGGCCUGCGCACCGUCGCUGCCCCAUGCGCUGUCGUCGACGCGCCACUCCGCCGCUGGAUGCGCCGCCGACGGCUCCGCUUGGCUGCGGUCCUGCGGGACGGCACCGGCACCACGCGCCUGGCGCCGAGCGCCACUGCCAUCGCCCUACGCCGGCCACGCACCACCAGGCCCGGCUCUAGAGGGCGGGCAGCAGUGCGACCGCCGCGGGCCCACGGAGCUAGGGGGCCCAAAAUAAUAUAAAUAAUUUUUUAUUUGGCAUAACUAACACAUAUAAGUCUUUAAAAUUCUAUUUGUAGGUGUCUUCCAAUCUUUAUAUUGUAUGUAACUUGGAAACAUUAGAGCACAAGCAGCGAAAUCAAGAGACUAGAGGACGAUUUAUUUUCUACCGGCGCCAAACCACCGAUGCUUCCUAAUUCAGCCUUGUUUAGUUCUCAAAUUUUUUUUGUUUUGGGAAUCUUUAGACACAUGCAUAGAACAUUAAAUAUAGAUAAUAAAUAAAUAAUUACACAGUUUAUAUGUAUUUUGCGAGACGAAUCUUUUAAGCCUAAUUAUUCUAUAAUUGGACACUAAUUGUCAAAUAAAAUAAAAAUGCUACAAUAACCAAAUCUAAAAAUUUUUGUGAACCAAACGAGGCCUUCCUAUUCUCUUCCAAAUUCUCAAAUCCCAAAAUCUCCUAUCGAUUGAUCAUUGAGGCAUCAAUGCACAUGCAAACACGGAUGCCGAGUCAGCAACGACCGAUGCUAGUUGCCAAGUCGCAGACUCACUAGCUCGUUGUGGCACCACCACUACCGCGACACGAUGCAACCAACAACAAUGAUGGAUAGCAGAUGUAAUCUCAUUCAACAGGCUCUUAUCUUAUUGCUUGCCCAAGGGCCCUUUAAAUUAUAGAGCCAGCCCUGCGCACCACAGCCAGGCACCGCUGACGCCCCACGCUCGCGACCGAGCAUCGCGGUCGCGGCCAGGAUCCGCCUCGCUCCGUCCCAUGGUCGGACCUGCUGCGCCCCGGCGGCCGGUAGCCGCAGCCCUGCGACCUCGGACCCGCCUCUACCCCACGCCGCAUGUCGCGAUGCCGACGCUGACAGAAGAGCCUCGCGCGCUCCCGCUCGAGCCGCAACGCGUUUUGCGGUUUUGCCUCUUGUUAGACGAGUAGGAGGUUGAAGAUAAGCUAAGGGGCAAUUUGGUCUUCUGCCUUUGUAUUUUGGGAUUUUGGUUUUUUUUUACUUCACUAGGAAGCGUGACCGUGUGUUGCUACAGGAUAUUUAACGUUUUAUAUUUAAAACACAUGGAUCAUUUGCGAAAUCAAAUACAGUCACGGAGAGCACAACGUCGCAGUCUUAUAAACUCUACUUUAUAGAUCUUUCCAUGCUGCGACUAAGAUAAUGUUUAAUAUCAGCAGGAAGAAAUCUCUAAUAUCUAUUUCUUUCGUGCGUCAAUAAAUUCACAAAUAGACCGUACCUCCUUGUCGCUUUUUCAAAACAACCUAGGCCUUCAACAGCUUAACAUAGGCAUCUAUGAUCUGUAUGCAUUGAACCAUUAGAGAGAAAAGAACAUUGAAGUUGCCAAUGUUUGAUUGAGUAUUAUGACUUGCAUCUGUUACCUCGUCAGAUAAGUAUUCAUGUGGCUGAAAAAAACAUUCUAUAUGGUUUCUCGACACACCGGAACAUCAUCUAUGAGCACAAGCUCCUCUUUUCUAGGUGAAGAUGGAAUUUUUUUGACAGAUUCAAUUAUGGCUCUAUCGGUUUCGAUACAAACAUAAUAAAAAGACAACAUACUUAUAUAUAGAAUUAAAAUAUAUAACAAUAGUUAAUUUUCUAAGUUAAUCCAUCAAAGAAAAUAUUAAUACCUCACAGGCCAAUCGAUGAGGACAUAUUUUUUUGGGUUUAUUUUGUAAUAUUUUGAUUUUUGGAAGUUCUUUUUCCCCUGUCGAAUCUACAAGAGAAGUUGAUAGGCCAUUUUCUUCUUGGGCCGUAUCAAUGCUUAAGUCCUGGUCAUCUGUUAGAACUCUGUGUGUAACUUUUGUACUCAUGCUUUCUUACAACCAUUCAGAAUCCUCCACGAACUUAUUGUAAAUUUCUAUUUGUACAAUAUCUUCUGAAACCGUCGAAUUUAGAUUAUCUAUGGCGAUCUAAAAAUAAACAUUUUUUUUUGAAAAUAAUUAAGGUAGAUCAAAUAUAUAUUUCAUUAAUUCAGAAUUGAAAUGAUAUAUAGGUAUAUAAAAUUGUAUUGUCUUUGUUCUAUUGUAAAAAUGUAUUAUAUAUUCUUAGUUUAGUUUUUAAACACUAAUAAUGAAGUCAUUUAGAUUUAUUCUGUUCAAAUGAAUAACCAAACAAAAAUAUCAAUAAAUAUUUAACGAACAAAAUAACGUAGUAGUUAUAAAAUAUAUCUAUAAGAACAGAAUAUAUAUAUUCAAGAUUUUCCGUCACAUCGAAUCUUUGGACAUAUGUAUGGAAUAUUAAAUGUAAAUAAAAGAAAUAACUAAUUAUACAGUUUGUCUGUAAUUUGCGAGACAAAUCUUUUGAGCCUAGUUAAUCUAUAAUUGGAUAAUAUUUGUCAAAUACAAACAAAAGUAUUACAGUGGUCAAAACAAAAAAAAAUUGUGCCUAAAGAGUGCAGGCCACCUUGGGAUACGUCUACCGGCAGUCCUCGGUGAUGGCAACUCGACACCGGCGACAGAGGGAGAGGCCAGACGACCAGACGAAACUUUUGGCUAAAAUUUUGCCUUUUUAAUAUUAGACUAGCAAAACACGCCCGUACAUUGCAUCGGGUUGUAUAAUUUUUUGUCCAAUAUUUAUGCCAAUAGCAAAUAUGUCCAUGUGUCGUAACAAGGCAUAUUACUACAUGGUCAUCUAAAGCUAGAUAUAUCUUUGUUUCAUUACGUUGCAAGGUAGCAAAACUUAAUUUUAUAAAUCUAUUAUUAUAUAUAAUACCACUUUAGUCAGAAAACAAUCAUAAACUAUUGAAUUGAUUUUAAUGUAAAAGGGAUAUAGUUCUAUCAAGAUUCAUUGUAGAUCCAUGUCACAAAGUUUUAUGAGCUAGUAUUCACAGCAAUUUCAGCAUUAUUAUAAUAUUAUUAUUUAGUUAAUUCAUUAUUUAAGGCAAUGACCAUAAAAAAGAAUCAUGCAGCUUAGUAGUAUUUUUUUUUUGUUUGCCUUCAUCUCUCUAGGUCCCACGCCUUAACUGCUCCCUUCUAUGAGUGGAUAAGGCAGGGUACUAUCAUCGUUGGUUUUUAAUUCUCUUUCUCUCUUUCUAAUAUGUUAAUAUUACUUGUUUUCUCGAUAUAGAUUUAUUCUAACCCAUCCAACGGACGUGCAAACCCAGGGCAAACAGAUUCUUCGUUUCAAAAUAACCGAGCAAAAUCACAAAGUUAAAAAAAACACGGAUAAAAUCAUAAUUGAACUGCUGAGCAAGGGUAAGGACAAAAUUUUCUUUAAAAAAAUAGAAAGUUAUGCACCAUGUCUAGUGGGAGAGCGAGCGGCCGGUCGUCUGAACUCUGAACUCUGAAGGCUCAAAAGGCUAAGCUUCCUAAGGAUUAAAGAUCAUUAGAUCUUAGAGCAUCUCCAAUAGUUUGGUAAAAAUUAUUUACCAAAUCUUGUGAUUUGGCAACUUGCUUUAAUGAUAUGGCAAAUGAAAAAAAGAUGUCUCUCCAAUAGUUUGUCAUUCCAACUUGGUAAAAUUUAAACGUAGGCCCACAUAGUCCCUAAUCCAACCCUGGGCCUCCUCCUCAUGCCGUGAAGAUCCUUGGUCCUCGCGUACGUGCAAGACGCCGCCGCCGGUUCGUUUGUGUCGCCUACUCCUGCUGCGGCGCCGAGGACACACCCGUCAUGCGAGAAGCUCACCUGCUGCUCGCUUCCUUCUUUGAUUGAUCGAACAAAGGUACUGAUCGAACAAAGCUCCCUGCUGCUUGCCAUCUGUUGCCAGAAGCUCACCGUCUAUUGCCAGAUGCUCCCCGUCUGUUGCUUUGAAUUCAGCUUUUGUACAUGCCGUUGUUUAUUGCAGAACCGAAUUCAGCUUUUGUACAUGCCGUUGUUUAUUGCAGAACCUUAUCGUUCAGGAAUCAUGCCUAGGAAGAGAUCUUGUUCGCGAAGACAAUUGGAUGAAGAAUCAUCCGAUGACGAUGACUCCUGAUAUUAUCGGCUGCCCGAAUUGUACAAACUUUGUCCGAUGACAAAGGACCACACGGUGGCUCUGUCAAAGGUCGUAGAUAUCUUCGCCGUGAUAGAGAAGGUGGACAUGACAGGAUGUAUCAAGAUUAUUUGGUGGACAAUCCAACAUACGGCCCCGAAAUAUUCCGUCGAAGGUUCUUGUUCUUUACCUUCGGAUUAAUUUUUCCUUAUUACCUGCUGAAAUAUUAUUAGAGUUGUCAAACUUUAUAUUUAUUUUGUUCAGGUACAGGAUGUCUAAGGAACUUUUCGUACACAUAAUGAAUGCUGUUGAAGCGCACGAUGAUUACUUUAUGCAGAAAAGAAAUGCGGCCAAUCAGCAUGGAUUGAGUUGCUUCCAAAAAGUCACUGCCGCAAUGCGUAUGCUCACUUAUGGGGUUCCAGCUGAUGCGACAGAUGAGUACGUUCGCAUUGGCGAAAGUACUGCACUUGAGAGCCUACGUAAGUUUGUUGCUGCAGUUGUUGAAAUAUUUGAAGAUGAAUACCUCAGAUACCCCAAUGAGGCAGACAUAGCACGAUUACUUGCAAUGGGUGAGAAAAAAGGAUUUUCGGGAAUGUUAGGGUCCAUCGAUUGUAUGCAUUGGGCAUGGAAGAACUGUCCAUAUGAUAAACAAGGUCAGUACAAGAGGCAUGUGGACAAGCCAACUAUCAUUCUAGAGGCUGUUGCUUCGGACGACCUUUGGAUAUGGCAUGCCUUUUUUGGAAUGCCUGGGUCCCAUAAUGAUAUCAAUGUUCUUCAUAGAUCUCCUUUGUUUGAUAACCUAGCCGAAAGUAGAGCUCCAGGAGUGAAAUUUUCUGUUAACGGACAUGAUUACACAAUGGGAUAUUAUCUUGCAGAUGGUAUAUACCCCUCAUGGGCUACUUUAAUCCAAUCCAUCGCUGCUCCUAUGGGCAACAAGAGGCAAUAUUUUGCCAAAGCACAAGAAGCAGCGAGGAAGAUGGUCGAGAGAGCUUUUGGGUUCUUCAAUCUAGGUUUGCCAUUAUUCGAGGACCAGCGCGCCCUUGGGACAUUGAGACUUUGGCAUUGAUCAUGAGGGCUUGUGUGAUCAUGCACAAUAUGAUUGUGGAAGAUGAAGGAUUCGUGGUUGACCCUCGGGAACGUUUUGAUUACGGUGGUGAAAAUGUUGAACCUGAUCAUGGCCAACCUACUCGUACACUUGAUGAAUAUAUUGAGGCACAUAGAAAGAUCAGAGACAAGGGAACACAUGUGCAGUUGAAAGAAGACCUUAUCGAACACCUGUGGAACCAUCAUCCAGAUUUAUAUUCGUACACUAUAUAAUUUUAAAUGUUAUAGUUUAUUUUGAUUUGUGUUAGCUACUCAUUUAUAUUUCAUCCUGUUCAAAAUUAUAUGCUCAAAUGUAAUAGGUCAUUUGUUUUUAUUCAUGUACCAUGAACCAUCGAUUUAUUUUUCUUCCUGUCGUCAGCUCAAGUGCAAUAUUUUACUCAAAUGCAACAAGAGACAGGACCAUGCAAGAUUUGUCGUCAGGGAACAUUCAGCAGCUUCAGCUCUGCCGGGCACCAAUACUCUCUAGCUACAGUACCAUGCAACGUACCAAAAUCUGCACAGUACCAUGUCGGCCAGCAACUCAAGUGAAUACAAAUGCAUACAGUACCAUGCAUAGAAGUAACUCUGAUUGAAAGAAAAUGUUCUGAUGACUAUGAAAGCAAAUCAAACUAAAGGUUCAAGAAUUAUAGAACAUAGAAGACAUAAACUAAAUUGUUUUUCCAAAGUAAUUCUGAUUGAAAGAAAAUGUUCCGAUGACUAUGAAAGCAAAUCAAACUAAAGGUUCAAGAAUUAUAGAACAUAGAAGACAUAAACUAAAUUGUUUUUCCAAGACGCUUAUUAGCGACAAUCUCCUCUUGCAUCAUCUGAAGCCAUUCAAGCUGCAGCGUGUCAAGACCAGCCUUGUUCGCCAUCAUAAUUUCUUUUUCCUGUUUUAGCAAAUCUGCUGCAGCUCUUUUCAGUUCCGCAUCAGCUCUCUUCUUCUCUAGCUCUAGUGCUUGUUUGUCUACUUCAAGUGAAGCCAUGAACCUCUCUUGUUUAGCCUUCUCUUUUUCCUUGUCCGACUCCUCCUUUUUUGCCCACAUCUUGUCCAAAGCUUGCACGCAAGCCUCACCACCUCCUCGCCUAUGAUUUUCUUUGACCUUCUUGAUCCCAUCUGACCUUUUUCUUGGUUCUGUUUCUACAGGUUCAUCACCAACCGCUACGACUUGAUCAUCACUAUUGGCUCCUUCAUCCCUUGGCCUGGAAUUCUUUGUGGCCUUCUUAUUCUUCUUGCUUGCUGCUACUUUCUCCAGCUCGGUAAGUUCUAUCAUCUUUGCUUUCCACUUGUCCUCCUUCUUUAGUAUGUUCCAACAAUGAUCAAGACCAAAAGAUUUCUUGUCCUUGUCUUGUGAAGUGUAGUACUUUUUUGCUUCGUUAAUCUGUAUAAAGAUAUUUACAAUGUUAAUACAUUUUCAAAUAAAAAAUUUCAAUUACAACAAUGAACACAUAUGUCAUACCUUAUCUUCGAUUGUUGUUCCACUUUGAUUCCUACGUUGAAUGGCCUCAUAGCAUGAACAAAACUUGUUCACUUGCAACUGAAUAGUCAGCCACCUAUGCAUGAUCGAAUUCUCUGUACGAACAGCUUCAGUUUUAUUGUGUUCCACAUAGAAAGCAUGAACUCUUCCCCAAAAUGUGGUACGUGUUUGAUUAGCCCCAUUAAUGGGAUCUUUGCUGACAUUCAACCAGGCCGAGCAAAUUACUUCGUCCUCGCGCCAAUGAAAUUUUUUUGCCCUCCUAGUUCCCUUUGUACUGCGGCUUGCCUGCACUUCAUCAAGAGUGUGUUGAGUGUUUGGAAUGAGCAUCUCAUCCAAACCAGCAACAUGAGAGUCUUCUCCAUUGAGAAGAAUGCCCGACAGGAAAUUUCCAUCUUCUUCCAUCAGUCUACACAAAUUUAUGAAAAAUUUUUUUAGAAUAAUGCUAUGAAUAGACCAUGAACAGAUAUUCUAUCAUGACUAUCAGAUCGACCAUGACAUAUACUCGUCCUGGAUGCACCGGUGAUGCCAUGCAUCUAGCUAUGCAUUGGUGGUCUUGAGACAAAGCAAACAAUAUACUAGAAUAAUGCAUGCAUCUAUGCAGAAACUAAAAAUAGGAACCCUUGUACUCGUCCAGUGCGGCGCCCGUCCAUCCCCCACGGACCUUGGCCUCAACACGGCACUCGAUUCGAUCUACACCAAGGAUAAACUGACCCACACCCAGCAGUACAGAAGGAGGACCGCAAGAUUGGCAGGGAUCUAGUCAAUAGCGGACGGGACAUACCUGGCGAUGCAAAGAGAAAAGAAGCUGCCGCGUGACUCGCGAUGAAGACCGACGGCGGCAGCGGCGUGGUGAUAAAAAACGAGGAAACCACGACUUCUUCUCUGGAUAUAUACCGCGGGAAGGACUUGGCGCGCGCGGGAGGGUAGGCCGUCGCGCGGGACAGGCGAGGGCGACGGAAAAUAUCGCGAUGCCAAGUCUUCUCCAAGUGCGCAAAUAUGGCAGUGCGAGGCCGGAGGAUAGCAAGUUGCCAGGGAUAGCAAGUUCGUUUGAGGAACUGUUGGAGGGUGUUUUUUGUGGUUUUACCAAAUAAAUUAAGAUAACAAGUUGGUUUACCAAACUACUGGAGAUGCUCUUAUUCCCUUGCAUUGCCAGAGUUACUGGAAUUCAAGAGGAGAAUAAUGAGAGCACAAUGAGAGCACAGGAGAAUAAUGGCCAUGUAGAAGAGGUAUUAUAUAUGAACUGGAAAAGCAACAAAAUGAAGCAAUUCGUGCAGCCAUUUUGUCAAACCAAGGGAAGUGAUUAGUGCAGAAGCAAUGUACUUAAGAUACAGCAAGUCAUCAACAACACGAGAUGCAGAGCAAGCAGUUAAUUCCUAAUGUCAUUGCACAGACAAGAUGAGGUGAGUUGCUGAUUACAACCUUAAAAAGGUUUCCAACAAAUUACGUACGCAGCAAUGGAAUUUCAGUUUGUAUACACGUUACCACAUCCAAACUUGUAAGGAACAUUAGAUCAAUCGUAUAUAUAGUCCGCGUAAUCAAUAAAAAGAUUUAUGCACAAAGCACUUACUCCCUCAGUCCACAAAUAAAUAUAUAUCUCGCUUCUCGAGAAGUCAAACAUUUUUUAAGUUUAACUAGAAAUAUAUUAAAUAAUAUCAAUAAUUAUAUCUAUAAAUAAGUAUAUUAUAAAAGUAUAUUUCAUACUCAAUCUAAUGAUACAUAUUAUAUAUAAUAAAAUAUUAAUUUAUUUUUGUAUAUAUUUAGUCAAGUUUAAAAAAAUUUGAUUUCUUGGGAAACGAAAUGUACACUUAUUUGUGGAUGGACGGAGUACUUUGUUGAUGGAGCACUGGAUAACUCAACCGUCCAAAAGCCAAGAUGAUUAAAAAGAUGGGCUAAUAAUGAGAAUUGGAAGGUGCCAAUAAAAUUGACAGACAUGAAACAGAUCAAACAUGCAGAAACAGAACAGCUUAUGGCAACAGCAGGUACUGGUGUAUGUAGAGACCAUAAGAGAGAUUAGGAAUAUCGACGAGUGAGCAACAAUUGUGAUUCACACUAGCACAGAGACAUCCAUCAAUUAAUUACCAUACGAUAGCAAAAGUAGCAUCAGCGCAGUAGCAUGCAAGGUGCGAUGAUAAGCAUCAGGAUGGUGAAUAACAUUAGGAAAACCAGUAGCAAAUAACAGGAGGUUCGAGCGGAUUACACC